GCAAGACCGUCAUAAAAAUGACGACGUGAAGCUUUCCAGACCAUUGUUAAUGGCGCUGACGUUUGCUGUUUUGUAAUCAAAUACUUGUUUAGUUUUCAGGUGACGUGAGCAUGAAGGUGUAUGAACUCUGAAUUGUAAUAACCGGUGGUCACUGAACCCAUCCGCAAAAGUGAUAGUGUUUACCCUCUCGGGCGCGGACGAUAGAACAAGAUCUAAGAUGUUAUUGAUACGAGUUGGUUGGUCGGUUAAUUGCACAAGUGAAAAAUCAAGUGUUAGUUGAACGAACUCACAAGAUGCACGUGAUUGGCCUCGCAAGUUCUGCCAGUCAAUGUCUGGAAAGUUAAAGU
rnacentral:lncRNA from 1 species